AGUGGCUGGAGUGGAAGUGAGGAAGAGGGAGAGCUCCUGGGCACCAGAAUGAAUGGGGAGGGUCCUUUAGGGCACUGUGAGGCCAUUAGCUUUUACUCCUACUGAGACUGGACAUCCCAGGAGAGUUUCAGAGCAGAGAAGUGCUAUGACUGCUCUUGAAGUUUAAGAGGACCAGGUGGCUGGCUUUGCUGUGUGUCAGAGAACAGGAGCAGAAACAGGGAGACCAGCUGGGAGGUGACUGCAAAAGUCCAGGUGAGAGGCGAUGGAGCUAGUGAGGAGUGCCGGAGGCCUGGUGUAUUCUGACGACCUGAGUAUUUGCAGAUUUUGGUACCUGCAAGAGGUCCUGGAACCAAUACCCCAUGGAUACUGAGGGACAACUGUAAAUAGUGAAGAAGGUCCUUGCUUCCCCUUUGCCUUCCACCAUGAUUGUAAGUUUCCUGAGGCUUCCCAGUCAUGCUUCCUGUUAAGCCUGCAGAACUUGUAUCAUCUUUCUUGCUGCCCUUGAAGAGUGGUGUCCAGUGAAUCUUUCAAAGAAUGAUACUGAGCUUCAUUGUUGAUGAACAAAAAUGCAAAUCUCACCCAGAGCAUGCAGGAACAUGCUAUAAUCACUACACUCCUAGAAUGUGAUCUCUUUCAAUAUUGACUGCAUCCAUGCCUUCCACACACUUGCACCAGUUGGGAGGAUGGAGAUGUCAUCUGGGCAGAGGGAGAAGAGCAGUACCAUUCAGAGGUCUGUCCCUCUUAAGAUAUAUUCUCUCUGUCAACCUAGAACUCAAAGGGCUGUGUGAAAAGUUUACUGUGGAAAAAGAAAUUGAAAAAACUGCCACUAAGUAGCAAUGGAAGGACUUUUCCCGCUAAGAUGAGGAACUGCUCAGAUCACCAGCUGCUUCAGGUUACCAGCCCACACCUGUCUGUCUCACCUCUGACAACCUUGAUAUAAAUUAAACAAUGAAUAAGAACAAAAACAAUUUAAAACUGCGUAAUGGUCCAAACCACCAUGGAUGGUGUUCUGACGAUGAUACACGGGGUGAGGUCUGACUCAUGAGCCGCUGUCCGUGAUGACUUGACAUUCUCAAAAGGAAAUCCCGAAUGUUCUCACUGCAUGCUGCUGCAGGCCCUCAUGGCAGGGCAUCCACACCACUGGCUCAGGUGCUGGUUGCUCCAGAAUCUCUCUUCAGCUGGCCUUUUUCUACUGAACUGUCUGUGAGAACAUCACUGCAGGCACGGUUUUCUCCAACCAUAAUUGCUGCUGCCAAAGCCACCUCGGACUUGGGAAAGGGAAACAACACUCCACUAGAGAGCGUAGAAUCUUAGAAUUCAUCUACUUCAUUCUCCUCCUGGUACUCUACUUUCUUCUACAACGUCCCAGCCGAGCUGAGGUCUGAGCUGUGCUGCUCAAGGCUGUCCCAUGUGAAUACAGAUGCGGAGACCCUGUAAGGGUAACAGAGGAAGCUGUGAACCCAGGGGAAGAAGAUAAACUUGUGGACAUAUGUGCAAGGAGCAAUUUUAAGUAUAUUGCACUAACCAACUCAUGAUCUGUAACUCCUUUGUUAAGGAAAAGAAUGUAUAUCUACGUCAAACUUCCAUUUCAGAAAGCCGAGGUCAAAAUAAUGAGUCCUGGGGAAUUCAAACUUGUGUUAAGAAAAUGUGUCCCAGUGUGCAAUGGCUGCAAACAGCAGCUUCCUUGGUAGUGUAUGCAGCCUGUUUGUUGUACGGGUUGCUCUAAAGGGCCUUGGAGACAGUCCUUUCAGAUGGAUGUACAUGUUUUUGACCUUGCACUACCCCAGUGUAGGCUCCAAACAGGCAUGCGAGGUGCCUUUGGAAAGCCCCGGGGCACUGUGGCCAGUUGGCCAAGUUAUCAUCUCCAUCCGCACCAAGCUGCAGAACAAGGAGCACGUGAUUGAGGCCCUGGGCAGGGCCAAGUUCAAGUUUCCUGGCUGCCAGAAGAUCCACAUCUCAAAGAAGUGGGGCUUCACCAAGUUCAAUGCCAAUGAAUUUGAAGACAUGGUGGCUGAGAAGCGGCUCAUCCCAGAUGGCUGUGGGGUCAAGUACCUUCCCAGUUGUGGCCCUCUAGAGAAGUGGUGGGCCCUGCACUCAUGAGGGCUUUCACUGUGCUUCCCCCUCUUAAUACUCACCAAUAAAUUCUACUUCCUGUCCACCUAAAAAAAAAAAAAAAGAAAAAGAAUGCUUUAACUUCAAUUACCCCUCUCUCUUAUGUACGUUUAGUCUGUUAUUUUAGUUUUAUCCUGAUUCCCUCGCAUAAACAUUAUUAUUAUAUUAAAAAAAAGAAAAGAAAAGAAAAUGUGUAGAGCCGGGCACGGUGGCUCAUGCCUGUAAUCCUAGCACUUUGGGAGGCUGAGGUAGGCGGAUCACAAGGUCAAGAGAUCCAGACCAUCCUGGCCAAUAUGGUGAAACCCCGUCUCUACUAAAAAUACAAAAAUUAGCCGGACGUGGUGGUGCAUGCCUGUAAUCCCAGCUACUCAGGAGGCUGAGGCAGGAGAAUUGCUUGAACCUGGGAGACGGAGAUGCAGUGAGCCAAGAUCAUGCCACUACACUCCAGCCUGGGCAACAGAGUGAGACUCCACCUCAAAAACAACAACAACAAUGACAACAACCCCAAAAACAAACAUGAAUAAAUAUCAUUCUCCAAUAAAAUCAUUCAUGCCAGUUAGGGAACCAGUUAGGAGGUUGUUACUGGAAACCAGGUGAAAGAGAUUUUAUUGGAGAAUGAUAUUUAUUCAUGUUUUCCCUAAUGAACCCUUUAACUUUACUCCAGUUACCCUUAAGAUUGAGUUCAAGCCCUUGGUAUGGCUGACAACACUCAGUGAGAUACGGCCCUGGUCUCCUAAUCCAAUCCCAUCUUUUUCCUCUGUCCCCUCUUUCACCAACUUCUUUCAGUUCUUUGAACAGGAAACCCUUUGUUUUUACUCCUUUACAUCAGUUGCUCCCUUAAAAACUCUUCCUCAUUCCCUACUCUGCCCUGUUUUAGGUUUCAGCUUAGAGUAAUUUUCUCCAGGAGGUUUCCCGCUGGCCUCCCCAAUGGGAGUUAGUGGCGGUCAAAGCAUGCUGUUCUCAUCACAGCCCUUAGAGCACUGUAUUGCAAAAGCCAUUUCAGUUGUCUACGUCUUCUGCUAGAUUGGGGGUUUCUUGGUCUUUCUUGUUUACCAUUGUAUCCCCGCAGCUAGCAUAGUUCUAGCUUGGGAUUAGGUGCUCAAUAAGAACCUGAUGAAUGGCCAGACAGAUGAAUGAAAGAAGGUUUUCCUUUUCUGACAAGAGAAGGUGGUGAAUGGAAUAGUUGGGAAAAAAUGUAGUGGCUAAAAAUAAAGCAAAUAAACUUUUUCUUACCUUUGACCAGCUAUAUUUUUCUUAAAAUAGGGAAAAAACCAAAAACAAAACACUGAGAAAAGUGUUUGCUGAUUGGUUAGUUUUAAAUUUUUCCACCAAUGAAAUAUUACUGCUAUGUGCCUGUUGCUUCUGUUUUCUUUUCUAUUAAUAUCAUGGGCUUUUUUUUUUUCACAAAGGAAUUUGUUAUAAAAGGACAUUAUUCAAGGUAUCACUGUAUAGAACCUGACAUUUGUAAAUGGUAACAUUCAGUGAAUAUAAUCACUUAAACUCCAGAGUAGAUAAUAUACAUAUAUAUUGAAACCUAGAGGCCUGGGGUUUGGUCUUGUUUGUAUCAUUAUCUGUGUAACUAGCAUUAGGACAUUAAACUUUCUAUGUUUCAUUGCAUUUAAGUAAAUGCAUCAUCUUCAAAAUGAACUGAUGCCUUUUCUGAUAUCUCACAUGUGAAGAUAUAAUGAAAUGACUCAUAUAACAAUACUGUAAGCUACUCUGUAAAACAUAGGUACCAAGAAGUGUGAUAGGAAGGGUAACGGCCCAGAAGCUAGGUUGCCAGUAGCUAGUCCCAUUCAUACUGAUAAUUAUCUACUUUUUCUCUAUUGUCUUCUUAUCAAACAAAAUAAAACAUAAGAUAAGAAGGUUACACAGAAUGUUGUUUUGAGAUUCCUUUUAGACUUUAUCUUUUAAAAUUAUUAUUAUUAUACUUUAAGUUUUGGGAUACAUGUGCAGUACGUGCAGGUUUGUUAGAUAGGCAUACACAUGCCAUGGUGGUUUGAUGCACCCAUCAACCCGUCACCUACAUUAGGUAUUUCUCUUAAUGCUAUCCCUCCCCUAGCUCCCCACCCCAUGACAGGCCCUGGUGUGUGAUGUUCCCCUCCCUGUGUCCAUGUGUUCUCAUUGUUCAACUUCCGCUUAUGAGUGAGAACAUGCAGUGUUUGGUUUUCUGUUCUUGUGUUAGUUUGCUGAGAAUGAUGGUUUCCAGCUUCAUCCAUGUCCCUGCAAAGGACAUGAACUCAUCCUUUUUUAUGAUGCAUAGUAUUCCAUGGUAUAUAUGUUCCACAUUUUGUUUAUGCAGUCUAUCAUUGAUAGGCAUUUGCGCUGGUUCCAAGUCUUUGCUAUUGUGAACAGUGCUGCAAUAAACACAUGUGCAUGUGUCUUUACAGUACAAUGAUUUAUAAUCCUUUGGGUAUGUGCCCAGUAAUGGGAUUGCUGGGUCAAAUGGUAUUUCUGGUUCUAGAUCCUUGGGGAAUUGCCACACUGUCUUCCACAAUGGUUGAACUAAUUUACACUCCUACCAACAGUGUAAAAGCAUUCCUAUUUUUCCACACCCUCUCCAGCAUCUGUUGUUUCCUGACUUUUUAAUGAUCACCAUUCUAACUGGUGUGAGAUGGUAUCUCAUUAUGGUUUUGAUUUGCAUUUCUCUAAUGACCAGUGAUGACAGCCUUUAUCAUUCUAGGAAAUGAAAUGAGUACUAUAUUCUGUACAUAAUCCUAUUAAAUUUCUUAAAGAAUUUGUUGCCAUUUAAUCCAUCCUUGCGUUUCAUGGGUUGCUGUAGUUCAGUGGCUGUUGUAGGGAAUUUGUCUCCCUUCUUUUUCUAUCCCAGUUAUUUUGUGAUUUUUUCCAGAUGUGCAUGUUCUCCAUUGAUAUAUCUAUGCAUUGUCUUAGAAAGUUUAAAAUCUACCCAGGAAUCUAUACUAGCUAAAAGCUCUUUGAGUGUCCCUUCACAGCUAUACAAGAUGUUUUUAGUAAUUGUGUUCUGUAGAGCUCAGCAGCUGUUAUGUUACCCGAGUAUUUUUUUUUCUUUCUUGGCUUUUAAGUUGAUGUUUGGAAGUCUAUUCCCAAGUGCUCAGCCUAAAGGAGAGACAGUUUUCUGUUCCCCCUGCUAAUGCUAAACACACAAAUAAACAAAACAGAACAAAACAAAAUUCCAAUUAAACAGUCUGGGAGAUUCUAGUUGAAUGGUGGAUAUUAGCAUCUUUCAAAGCUAGACCACCUGUGCCUAGACAAUUUGUGGCUUUCUAUUCUUAUGUAAUACAAGGAAUAGAUGUCUGGCAAAACAAAAAAGAAUUUAGAAAGUAGGGAUGAAACAUGAUUCCUUUUCAGGGAGGAAAAUCACUUCAUUCAAGUACCAGCUUAGUUUCAUUGCUGCAUUUGAACCUCCAAGGAGAGAAAUGUGGAGCAGUUGAUCCACAGUUGUACCUUCCAUUGUUGGUUUAUUAAAUGGGCUCUUUUGUGCGUGUGUGCAAUUUCAUUCAGACCGUUAAUCACUACUUGGAGUAUUCUUAGCUUUCUACAAAUUGACAAACAUAGCUGUAGGGAAAUCUAUGUGGAAAUUCUGUUUUUCAGAGGUUUGGCAGUUUCUCUUUAAUGAGUCCUCAGGGUAUCUCAGGUUUCACUAAUUUGUGUUUAAUUAGAUUGGAAAAAUUCGGGCAGUAAGCGACAAGAACCUUCUGCCCCAUAAGUUGGAGAAAACCAUCACUCAGGCACUCAACAAAACCCCUUCCAAAUACAUGAUGUAAUACAUUCACUCCAGAACAGGGUAUGAGCCCUAAAGGAUGAUUCAGACAUAGAAACAAAAGUUGCUGUUAGAAGAUAAAAAGAAUUAUCAGUGGAUGUGUUUUUGCUUGCCGCUUUGACAUUGCUGUGGCAGGCAAGAGCAAAGGAAGAAAUGAUGCCCUGAGCUGAUGAAAACAAAUUCCAGAAGCAUUUAUGACCAAGUUGUGGUUAGAGGAACAGAAUGAAACAUAAUUUUUCAAAGUUUCCAGAAGGGCUUGUGCAUGCUGAAACAUAACCAGAAACAAUAUAACAUGCUACAGGAGGAAUCAGUGAUAAAAGUGACAUUCCCCACAUAGACCUAGUUAUUUACAAAGAGCUGUAAGAACGAAGGGCUCUGAAGCCUUUAAGAUGAACAAUGUUGUAACAGGAAAGGGGUCCUGAUUCAGACCGCCAGAGAGGGUUCUUGGAUGUUGCAUAAGAAAGAAUUCAGGGAGAGCCCAUAGAGUAAAGUGAAAGCAAGUUUAUUAAGAAAGUAGAGGAAUAAAAGAAUGGCUACUCCAUAGACAGAACAGCCCCGAGGGCUGCUGGGUGCCCAUUUUUAUGGUUAUUUCUGGAUGAUAUGAUAAACAAGGGGUGGAUUAUUCAUGCCUCCCCUUUUUAGACCAUAUAGGGUAACUUCCUGUCAUUGCCAUGGCAUUUGUAAGCUGUCAUGGCACUGGUGGGAGUGUAGCAGUGAGGACAACCAGAGGUCACUCUCGUGGCCAUCUUGGUUUUGGUGGGUUUUGGCUGGCUUCUUUACUGCAAACUGUUUUAUCAGCAACGUCUUUAUGACCUAUAUCUUGUGCUGACCUCCUAACUCAUCCUAUGACUUAGAAUGCCUUAACCUUCUGGGAACGCAGCCCAGUAGGCCUCAGCCUUAUUUUACACAGCUCCUAUUCCAGAUGGAGUUGCUCUGGUUCACAUGCCUCUGACAAUGUCAUAUAUAGAGUCAGUACAGCUUCAGGAUUAAAAAGCUAGACUCCAGAGUCAGACAGACAUGGCUGAUAUCAAAUCUUGCUUCCACUGAUCUUGCCCAACUCACUUGACAAUUUUGUGCCACAAUUUUCUCGUUAGUGAAAUGGAAUAAUGAUUAGCCCUUUAUCAUAGCAUCAAUUUGAGGAAUUAGGAAAUGCUUGUAAGACAUUGGUAAGUAUUCACUAGUGUGUGUUAACAAAUGAUGUCUAUUAUUGCUAUUGUUAUUAACAAGAUAUUCUGGCUGUGGACUCCAUGUAGUUCCAGAACAUUUGGUCACAGACUGAACAUGUCCAAAACUGUAGUCUGUUAAAGCCUAGACUUGGGUUAGAAAUUGCAUUUUCCAAAGAAUUUAAACAUUGCAGGUUGUACUUUCCAAAGAUGGCUGCUACAAUAGUUCCUAUCCCACAUGCUAUGUGAUAAUGUGACCUUGCCACUCCUUCCAUGAGGAGGUGGGGUUUAUGUUUUCUCCCCUUUGAAACUGGGUAGGCUUGUGACUACUUCAACCAAUAGAGUAUGGUAGAAGUGACACUAUGCGACUUCAGAGGCCAGGUCCAAAAAUGCUUUCAUUUGUUGCACUGAAAUACUCCUUCUGGGAGUCCUGUCUGAUUCCCCUGGGGCUGCCAUGUUAUGAAGAAGCCAACCCACACAGAGAAGCCACAGAUGGGUGCUCCGCUUGGCAGUCUUAACCUUUGAGCCUUUUCCUCUCAAACACCAGAUAUGAGUAAGUCUUCAGAUAAUUCCAGCUCCAGCCAUUGAUGAUUAGUCUUCUCAUCUGAGACCCCAGACCUCAUGGCAGAGAGAAGCCAGCCCUAAUGUCUCCUUUCCAAUUCCCAAUAAAUCCUUGAACAUAAUAAAUUCUUGUUUGAAGCCACUAAGCUUUUGGGUAAUUUGUUACAUAGCAAAGAAUACCUGGGAUAGAAAUUCUCCCUGGUCUGGCCAGUUCUCCCAUCUAUGGAUUUUCCAACUUUUCUCAAUCAAGUAAUUAGCAUUUACCAUGGCCUUUUAAUGCAAGUCACUGUGCUAGAACAGGGAUAAGCCAACAUAGUUAAACAGAAAUAUACACAAGGAUAAAGAAUACUUAGGAAUCCUAUGGUAAGAACUGUGUAGCAUAGAGUAGUGCAGGCAGGACUAUGGUGUAAACUUAAAAGAGGCUGAGACAAUCUGGGAAGGCUUCAUGGUAAAGAGGCUUGCAUAGGGCCUUGGAUAAGUGGUACUCGGAUAAAUAGAAAAGGGAGAAAAUGAAUUCCUGGCAAAAGUGUGAAAAAAUGUUUUGGAAAAAAAAAAGAUUUAGGCAUUGCCUCUUAUAAUUAAUCUGUUAAAGUCAUAUUUGUCUUGCAAAAUAAUAUUUACAAGAAAGAAUGCUUUUAGAUAUAUUUCUAAUUCUAAGAGAAUUUACUUAGUACUUUAUAGAGGUUGAGUUAUGUCAGUGGUGUCUUAAAUUGGACUAAUUUCCAUAGGAUUGAUCAGCAAACUUUGCCUCCUAUGUAAACAUAAUUUACAACUUUAUUAGAACACACAGAAUUUUCUUUCCUUUUUUUUUUUUGAAAUGGCGUCUCGCUCUGUCGCCCAGGCUGGAGUGCAGUGGUGUGAUCUCAGCUCACUGCAAGCUCUGCCUCCUGGGUUCACACCAUUCUCCUGCCUCAGCCUCCUGAGCAGCUGGGACCACACUUUUUUUUUAUUAUUAUAUUUUAAGUUCUGGGGUACAUGUGCAGAACGUGCAGGUUUGUUAGAUAGGCAUACACGUGCCAUGGUGGUUUGCUGAACCCAUCACCCGUCAUCUACAUUAGGUAUUUAUCCUGAUGCUAUCCCUCCCCUAGCCCCCAACCCCCAGACAGGCCCCAGUGUGUGAUGUUCCUCUCCCUGUGUCCAUGUGUUCUCAUUGUUCAACUCCCACUUAUGAGUGAGAACAUGUGGUGUUUGGUUUUCUGUUCCUGUGUUAGUCUGCUGAGAAUGUUGGUUUCCAGCUUCAUCCAUGUCCCUGCAAAGGACAUGAACUCAUCCUUUUUUAUGGCUGCAUAGUAUUCCAUGGUGUAUAUGUGCCAUGUUUUCUUUAUGCAGUCUAUCAUUGAUGGGCAUUUGGGUUGGUUCCAAGUCUUUGCUAUUGUGAACCAUGCUGCAAUAAACAUAUAUGUGCAUGUUUCUUUACAGUAGAACGGUUUAUAAUCCUUUGGGUAUGUACCCAGUAAUGGGAUUGCUGCAUCAAAUGGUAUUUCUGGUUCUAGAUCCUUGAGGAAUUGCCACACUGUCUUCCACAAUGGUUGAACUAAUUUACACUCCCACCAACAGUGUAAAAGCAUUCCUAUUUCUCCACAUCCUCUCCAGCAUCUGCUAUUUCCUGACUUUUUAAUGAUCACCAUUCUAACUGGCAUGAGAUGUUAUCUCAUUGUGGUUUUGAUUUGCAUUUAUCUAAUGACCAGUGAUGAUGAGGUUUUUUUCAUACGUUUGUUGGCCGCAUAAAUGUCUUCUUUUGAGAAGUGUCUGCUCAUAUCCUUCGCCCAGUUUUUGAUGGGGUUGUUUGUUUUUUUCUUGUAAAUUUGUUUAAGUUCUUUGUAGAUUCUAGAUAUUAGCCCUUUGUCAGAUGGAAAGAUUGCAAAAAUUUUCUCAUAUUCUGUAGGUUGCCUGCUCACUCUGAUGAUAGUUUCUUUUGCUGUGCAGAAGCUCUUUAGUUUAAUUAGAUCCCAUUUGUAAAUUAUGACUUCUGUUGUCGUUGCUUUUGGUGUUUUAGUCAUGAAGUCUUUGCCCAUGCCUAUAUCCUGAAUGGUAUUGCCUAGGUUUUCUUCUAGGGCUUUUAUGGUUUUAGGUCUUACGUUUAUGUCUUUAAUCCAUCUUGAGUUAAUUUUUGUAUAAGGUGUGAGGAAGGGGUUUGGUUUCAGUUUUCUUCAUAUGGCUAGUCAGUUUUCCCAACACCAUUUAUUAAAUAGGGAAUCUUUUCCCCAUUGCUUGUUUUUGUCAGGUUUGUCAAAGAUCAGAUGGUUGUAGAUGUGUGGUGUUAUUUCUGAGGCCUCUGUUCUAGAACACUCAGAAUUUUCAACUAAUUCCAACAAAUAUAACGUCUUAUAAUAGACAUUCGUCAUCUCAAAGUUACACAUCGGUAGUCUUUAGAACUGUUACAUCAAAAAAUUCUUGAGAAAGCUCUUUGCCCUUUUUAGGAAAUAUAUUUAGAUAAAUACCCAAAUUUUAAUGACAAGAUAUAGCAUAGAUAUAGCUAUAACUUACAUUUUAUAAAUAACAUAUAAAUAUUCACAAAACACCUUCCUUUUAAAAAAACAAAAACAAAAAGUAAUGGCUAAACCAAGCUUUUGCGUUCUUAAGGUCCUGUGACAACUUUUCAUUAAGUACCGUAGAAAUGUGUGGGCUUGCAUUUUUUCUUUUUCUUUUUUUUUUUUUUUAAGAUGGAGCUUCGCUCUUGUCACCCAGGCUGCAGUGCAAUGGCAUGAUCUUGGCUCACUGCAACCUCUGCCUCCUGGGUUCAAGUGAUUCUCCUGCCUCAGCCUCCUGAGUAGCUGUGACUACAGGUGUAUGCCACUACACCUGGAUAAUGUUUUUGUAUUUUUGGUAGCGACAUGGUUUCACCAUUUUGGCCAGGCUGGUCUUGAAAUCCUGACCUCAGGUGAUCCACCCACCUUGGCCUCCCAAAGUGUUGGGAUGACAGUUGUGUGCCACCACGCCUGGCCUGGACUUGCAUUUUAACUAUAAUUUAAAAUUUUUUGCAACCGGUUUGAACAUAAUUAGUGGCUGGAGUGUAUCACUUCUUAAAUAGUGAAUUCUGCUGAAUAGCUCAACUUCCUGCUCAUGCUUACAUUGGGGCAUCCUAUCUCCCUUUAAGUCCUCCCUUUUGACCUUAGUCCUUCUCUUUGGAUAGCAUAGAAUAAGGAUUCUCUUUCCUGUGUGACAAGCAUUCAAUUGCUCAAGGGCAGCACCUAUACCACCUUUGUGCCUUCUCUUUUGGCUAACAAUUCCAUGUCUUCUCAUAUGACCAUCUUUCCAGAACCUUCUUUAUCUUUAUUGUUGUCUUUUAAAUCGUUUCCAGAAUGUCAUUCUUAAAAUGUUGCCUAGAACAAAUGAAUACUCUAGCUGUUAAUAAUUGCCUUGAUUAUCAGAUAGUAGAUAUUUAGCUUGAUCUAAGUCUAACCAUUGGGAAGCGAUUCCUUUUUUUUUUUUUAAUUUUGGAAAAAGUGUUUUAUGACAACUAAUUUGGUGAUAUAAAAAUGUCCAUCAGCUUGGAUUCUUUGAGAACAUCCCAAAAUGUAUUGGAAAUCCAUAAUCUCUGUAUCCAAAGGAAUCUUUGAAACUUUGGCAUCAUCCUAGAUAUUAGGUAGAUUUUCUUGGGAGGAUUUUUGGCUAAAAUGAGUCACUUACCUCUUCCUUAAUCUAGAAUUUUUUUUUCAGGUAAUCUAGAGUCUCUAUUAUAUAUGUGUGAUAUAUGGUAUACCUGGGUCUGCCGAUAGACAGACAGGCCAAGAUAGGCCUGCAGUAUUAUCUUUGGUUAUUCCAAUGCCAUAGCCACUAGCCCCAUAUGGCCAUUUACGUUUGAAGUUAAAAACAUUUGAAUAAAAUUCAAGUAAAAAUUUAGUUCCUCCAUUGCACCAGCCACAUUUAAGUGCUCAGCAGUCACAUGUGGCUAGUGACUGCUAUAUUGGUCAGCACAGAUAUAGAUCAUUUCCCUCAUUGCUGAAAAUCCCAUUCCUGCCACCUAGAUAAAAAUGUAGAAAAUGUGAAAAUUUCUGAAUAUUUAAAAUGGAAAAUAAUAUGAUGAAAAUGGAUAUUGGCAUAGGCUAGGCAUUAAAAGCAUUAACUAUUUUAUUAUUUUGUAUAAUGCCUAGUUCAAUGUUUUACAAGGGAAGCCUAUUGAAUAAGACUUUAGCUUUGUAGACAGGCCACCUGAGUUCAGGUUCUGCCUUCACCAUUUUCUGCGUGAUCUUAACCUAGGCUUUGUUUCCUUAACUAUAAAAUAGUUUUAAUGAAUUUCUUAAGAUGAUCAUUAAGCUCGAAUGAAAUAAUGCUUGUAAAAGUAUUUAGCACAAUGUCUGACACAUAUAAGUUGUUAAUAUAAACAUAAGGCAUUAUUGCAAUUAUUUGGAGAAAUGUAAUUAUUAGCUCCAAAGUACUAAUUGCAGAAUACGUGCAUAAACACCAACACAAUAUAACACUUUAUUAAAUAAAUUGGACUUGUUAAAAAGCAAACAGAAAGCACAGAUACAACAGCCUGUGCCACCUAACUUCCAGGAGACACAGGUGUAGUGAUCUGGGUGGGUUUCCAAAGCCUUCCUCAUUUGGUUUGGUUGGUAGGGGAGCACAAGCACUUCCUUCUCCUACACUAUUCUGUGUUGAGGGAAUGCAUAAACCACUGACAAGUCUCCAAGAACAUCUUCACCACUCAGGUUCUUAGAAGUGAUGAACCAAAACUCCAUCUUUGUAUGUGUCAGGGGCCCAUAUAUCAAGAUGUAUAGGGUCUUAGUACUGGUUUGGGCAUAAUUAUACUCAGUGUUUGGGCCUCUGCUAAAAUUCUAAGACGAUAAGAAUAUCAGUUUAAGUUCUGUUACAGUUGUUUUCAUGAAGCUUGUAAGAUUGAUAUUUAAGUGGACAAAGUGGGAAGUAGUCAGUUUUCAGGGCUCCAGGGGUCAUCACUUUGUGCUCAGAGUACAGCUGUCAACUAGUGAUUUGGUGCAUUUAGACAAGGAACAGGAGCAAAGGGCCUAUUUCAAGAGGGUCAUAGACACUGCCUUGUGAUAAGUGAAUGGCUAGAGGGUUUCUUGGUAAACUGAAGUCCUUUUCACAUUUUUAGCUUUUUCUGUGGCAACCUGUCUUUUACAGAAGCUACUCAUGAACUCUGGCUUUUCAUUUUCAGGGUUGGGCUGGACAUUCUUUGUUUUUUUGUUUUGUUUUGUUUUCUGAGACAGAGUCUCUCUCCAUCACCCAGGCUGGAGUGCAGUGGCGUGAUCUCAGCUCACUGCAAUCUCUGUCUCUCGGGUUCAAGUGAUUCUCCUGCCUCAGCCUCCCGAGUAGUUGGGACUACAGUUUCAUGCUACCACGCCCAGGUAAUUUUUGUAAUUUUAAUAGAGACAGGGUUUUGCCAUGUUGGCCAGGCUGGUCUCGAACUCCUGACCUCAAGUGAUCCACCUGCCUUGGUCUCCCAGAAUGCUAGGAUUACAGGAGUGAGCCACCGCGCCCGGCCUUGGACAUUCAUUUCUGAUUCACUGAUCACACUGUGUAUUAAAAGAAAUGUUGGUCCAGUGACAAAGAAAAACGACCUAUUCUAUUCCUCGCCAUCACAUAGCUAUUUGGAGUAAAGUAUUCCAAAGUAAUGCUUUACUGUUCACUGUCUGUGAGAAUGAUGCCAUGCCCCACUGUCCUUGAUUAACCAUUUAUCAUUUCUCAGAGAUACAGAGUUAGGUGACCCUUCAAAUUAAUGACAUUCUGUUCACACAUAAAAUUACCUCCCAGUUCUUGAUCUGCUUUCUUAAUGCCCUUCUGACUGGCUAGAAACACUUAGAAUUGGGCAUUAAGAUUGAAGAAUUUACUUAUAAUUAUUUGAAAAUCAUAUAAAGAGAGAUGGCAAUUCUUUUUCUAGGUAGGAAGCCUAUUGGAAAUGAUGAUGGUAAGCAUACUGGUGAUGAGAAAGCAAGCCCAGAACAUUCCUAGAAGCAUGUGGGAACACUUGGUAUCUCCCGCAACCCUCUGCUUCAAAUAAACAACUAGCUUUUCUUGGACCUAUGGAUAAGACUGUUCUUUAGGAAUGAACUAGGGAGCAGCUAUCUGAAUAAGUGAUUUAAUGAUGUUACGCUGUUGGAGUAUAUUCCCUAUCUGUUGACUCGUGCCAAAGAUGCCAUUAAUAAAGCUUUAUUCUUUUGAUUCUUAUUAAAAUACAAAGUUCUCAGGAUCUCAAUUUCCUUACCUUUUAACUUGAUCAUUUUAGAAUAGAUAGUCUAUAAAAGUGGCUUUAAUUCUGAAGUAUACAUUUUUUUAAAGCACUCCUGGAAUUAUUUCAGGCUGUAAUCAGUUAAAAUGAUCAUUUAGUAUAUGUUUGUUAUUGAAUGAAUGCAUUUACAUCUUACUGCAAAUAAAUUAUACGUCCAUACUUAAAAUCAGGCUUUACUACAGAGCAAGGAAAGAGUCUAUAAAAGAUCUAAUUCUUCUCCAGGAAUCCAAUAAAUAUAUCUUGACAGAUUAUUUUGGAUAAGACACCAUUUCAGUACUAGGUUGCUUAGUAGUAAUACAAGUUGCAGAUGGUGUCUGCAACUUGGAGACUAAGAACAAAAAAGACAAGCUUAGGCCAGCGCAGUAGUUCAUGCCUGUAAUCCCAGCACUUUGGGAGGCCGAAGUGAGUGGAUCACUUGAGGUCAGGAGUUCUAGACUACCUUGGUCAACAUGGUGAAACCCCGUCUCUACUAAAAAUACAAAAAUUAGCUGUACAUGUUUGUGCAUGCCUAUAGUCUCAGCUCCUGGGGAGGCUGAGGCAGGAGAAUUGCUAGAACCCGGGAGGUGGAGGUUGCAGUGAUUCGAGAUCAUGCCACUGCACUCCAGCCUGGGUGACAGAGUGAGAUACCAUUGCAAAAAAAAAAAAAAAAAAAAAAAAAAAGACAAGCUUUACCCACUUCAUAGUUUUUCUCGAACUCCUGACCUCAAGUGAUCCACCUGCCUUGGCCUCCCAGAGUGCUGGGAUUACAGGCAUGAGCCACCGUACCCAGCCAAAUAAAUAUGUGUGUUAAUUAGCCUUGAUAUAUAUUAGCCUUAUUUCUCUUUGAUUAUAUUUAAUACCUAGAUCAUCUAUAUCUGGUUGCAUAAUGUAGCCUGAAUAAAAGGAAAGAGGAAAUAUGAAAAAAAUAGCAUCUAUUGAGGGUUUAAUAUAGUGCUAAUCACCUCAUAUAGACAUUUUCAUGUAAUCAUCGUAGUUACUCUAUCAAAUAGAUACUAUUAUUAUAUCUUUUAUAGAUAAGGAAACAGAGGCUCAAAGAAGUAAUGUAACCUGCCCAAAGUCACAUACCUAGAGCCAGUAUUAUGAUAUUAGAUGGUCUUACUCUAGAACCAAUAGCUUAACCAUUACUCUAGAGGAAAAAUCAUUCAUUGGGUGCAUAUCAUAUGAGCUGCAAUGUUACCUAACUCACACAGAGAAGAGAGUCAUUUCUUUUCAAGAAACUGCAGGUGAUAUUUACAGUUCCAAGAAUAGUUUAGGUAAAUUUUGAAUGACAGAGUUUCAUUUGGCUUCUUAGCAAGGUAAUCUUUUAAUUUUGGAAGGGCUUUUUGGAAAGCAGUUCCCAGAGAUGAUCCUGGAGUGGUCCUGGUAAGAUUAACCUGUGUUCAAGUCUUGGUUCUGUUGCUCAAAUGUAUGCACAUUUGGGUAGCAUUCUAUUUUAUUCCUUUAUCUAUAAAAUGGGACCAAUGCUCAUGGAGGUGUGGUGAUUAAUAGAGUUAAUAUAUAUACUCAGUGGCCUAUAAAAGCAUGGUGCAAAUAAGUAGAUUCAAUAGUAGUAUAGAGAUAAUCAAGAGAAGCCAUUGUCAUAUUUUCACUUCUUAGUACAAUGACACAUCUAGUUUGUAUAUCUGGACUACAUUAGGAUUAUCAGAUCUUUGACCAAAUAAGAUGCUUGAUAAAAGUUUAAACAUGAAUUAAAAGAUUGAUCAAAGACCAUGGACAGGCUAUUUCUGGAGAAGGCUAAGAUCUAAUCCUUCUCUAGCAAUCCAAUAAAUAUAUCUUGACAGAUUAUUUUGGAUAAGACACCAUUUUAGUACUAGGUUGCUUAGUAGUAAUACAGAGAUGGCCUCUGCAUCUUUGCAGAAUAACUAGCUCAGAAAAAGUCUUUCCAGAGCUGAGAUUUCAAGGUUUCCAUCUCAAAAGCCUACUUCAUUCUGGAUUGCGCUCAGCCAUCAUUCUUUCCAGUUCACCUUCAGCUCCAAAAGCUCACAGCAGCAUUAUUUCACAGUGGGCUUUCCAUUAUGUGCCGACUGCACUUGAUCCUGGAGAAGAGCACUUUCCAGGACUUUUCCUAGAGUCCUAGCAAUACAGGUCAUCAAAAACAAGGUCUGAUUUUCCAAAGUCAAUAUUUAGGAAUACUUUUUGCUCUUGGUCACUUCAAAAAUCCACCAGGUAACUAUAAUGGUUAAAAUUAUUCCUUUUUCCUAGUAAGGAACCCUUUUUGAGAUUGGAUCUUUAUGCAUAUUUUGCAGAGAGUGUCUAAGGGAGACUCAACUAAGCUCCAUAGCUGCUAUGAUUGUGAAUAGUUAUGAGACUAUUGACAUGAAUUAGUGAUGCAUUCCCACAGCCCUUCACUCCUUUAUGGUUGAAUUUCAGUGGAUGCCUGGGGGCUCUUCUGCCUUAAGAGAUCCUGUGUCAGAGCCCUAGGAUUUCUCAUCAGUCAAAACACCUUCAAAGUUUGAACUAAAUUCACACAAAAUUAAAUGCUGCCUACUGGAACUAUAAUUGGUUAUGACGUGUCUUCUCUGCAGUGAUUCUUGACAGCUUUGAACGACUUUAUGUCAUUACCUUCUGAGGCUUUGCAAACCAAAUGUAUCAUUUGUACAAAGCAAUGCCAGGGCUUGGUUGCCUUAAACAUUCAGAAGCAACUAACUGAUACUAGACUCUUGACUUCUAGUACAUAAUGGAUCAUUAUGCAAUCUACAAUGAAGCCCAGAGUGCAAAAUAUAAAUUUGAGCUUUUAAGAUGAAAAUUAGGCACACAGGUUUUCUAGAGAGAAAAGUAUUUAGGAUCUACUUAUUGGCAUCUCAGACAUGAAUCCAUCUGUUUGCUGAGUGCGUUGCUCUCCACUGUGGUGCCUUGGCAUUUGCUUCACAUGUUUCUUCUGAUGUGCAAACCAAGCAGUAAUAGCAUAAUAUUGAUCUCCAUUUUUUUUUAUACACCUAGGAGUGAACUCUUCCAUUCAUUUACCAUUUUUGCAAGCCUAUAAUUACAAUGCUUUGAUAUUUGGUAAAGUAAAUGGUGCAGCAGAAAUUAUAUGUUAAUGGUUUCCCAUGAUUUAAAUAUUUAAUAUUCUAGGUUUUCUAUACUUGAAUGAGAUUACAUGAGAAUAUUCUAUUUCUUUUAAAAAUCUUUGUGUAAUAGUGUAAAAUUUCUUUUUGUUCUUGGCUAAGUUAGUUAAUGUCUCAUAUAUUUGAUGAAACCUAAUUCUAAGAGUGGUGGAAUUUUUGAUACCUCUCCUUUAUUUCCAAGACAGGCAAUAUUACAUAGUAAUUAAGAAUGUGAACUCCAUACUGGAGUUUGAAUAUUGGCUUUACCACUUAAUAAUGAUGUGACCUCAUUAAUAAAAUGGGAAAAAUGAUAAUACUUACCUCCCAGAGUUCAUUUGUUCUAUAAACACUUGUUGAACACCUUCUGUGUGCCUGUGUCAGAAAAUUUGCUAACCACCCAGAAUACAAAAGUGAACAAUACCACGUGGUCACUGCCUUUCUGGGAUUUGCAGUCUUACAUGGGAAUGUUGUCUUCUGAUUACCAGUUCACUUGGCUUUAUUCUAAAUUUAGUACUGAAUUUACAUUUGUUGAAUUAUUUAGUCUCUGAUAAUCGAUAACAAAUUUGACUAAAUGAAUAUGAAUAUACUAAUUUAUUUACACAAUGGGUUGGGAAAUUUAUAAUGUAUAAAUAUUAAAUUUAAAAGGACACAAAGUUCAAAGCAUGAUGUGGGCCAUUAAAUAAAAACAAACCAAUAAGCAAACAAAGGACGGAAAGAGAAAUGAAUGUCAUAGGCAGGAGAGUAGAUAAAAUGUAAGAGAGACUUGUAUGGGGUAUUAUGAGUGAGAUGAAUUUUCAAUUUAAUAUACAGAAAAAUUAUGAAGAAAGCAUUCAAAAGUGUUGAGGUCUAUGUUAUCAUGGCAAAAUUAAAAGCAAAUAUUCUUCUGACCUUAAGAGGCUGAAAUUAAAAGAAAACUUCAGUAGUCAAGAACACAGAGAAUCUAAAAGUAAAUCUUUUCAUUUUAAGCAACAUAUUUGAAAACAAAGGAAUGGAAAUAUCUGUUUGAUGAAGGAAAAAAUUAUAAUAAAGUAAGCAUUCCACAAAUUCAGUUGUUUCAUACAUUUGCAGUUAAAGAAUAUUAAUCAUUAAAACAAUUUUAUACAGCUCUUUAAGCUAUCAAAACUCUUCCCCUUUCUCCCAGUCUGGUCUCCACCAAAUAAGCUGAAUGAUAUAAAGGUGGUCCCUGAAUUCU
rnacentral:lncRNA from 1 species